rnacentral:rRNA from 1 species
GCCUACGGGGCGCAGCAGUAGGGAAUAUUCCACAAUGGACGAAAGUCUGAUGGAGCAACGCCGCGUGAGUGAAGAAGGGUUUCGGCUCGUAAAGCUCUGUUGGUAGUGGAGAAAGAUAGAGGUAGUAACUGGCCUUUAUUUGACGGUAAUUUCUUAGAAAGUCAAGGCUAACUACGUGCCAGCAGCCGCGGUAAUACGUCGGUGGCAAGCGUUGUCCGGGUUUAUUGGGCGGAAAGCGAGUGGA